ACGGGUGAGUAACGCGUGGGAAUCUACCCAUCUCUACGGAAUAACGCAUGGAAACGUGUGCUAAUACCGUAUACGUCCUUCGGGAGAAAGAUUUAUCGGAGAUGGAUGAGCCCGCGUUGGAUUAGCUAGUUGGUGGGGUAAAGGCCUACCAAGGCGACGAUCCAUAGCUGGUCUGAGAGGAUGAUCAGCCACACUGGGACUGAGACACGGCCCAGACUCCUACGGGAGGCAGCAGUGGGGAAUAUUGGACAAUGGGCGCAAGCCUGAUCCAGCCAUGCCGCGUGAGUGAUGAAGGCCCUAGGGUUGUAAAGCUCUUUCACCGGUGAAGAUAAUGACGGUAACCGGAGAAGAAGCCCCGGCUAACUUCGUGCCAGCAGCCGCAGUAAUACGAAGGGGGCUAGCGUUGUUCGGAUUUACUGGGCGUAAAGCGCACGUAGGCGGACUAUUAAGUCAGGGGUGAAAUCCCGGGGCUCAACCCCGGAACUGCCUUUGAUACUGGUAGUCUUGAGUUCGAGAGAGGUGAGUGGAAUUCCGAGUGUAGAGGUGAAAUUCGUAGA
rnacentral:rRNA from 1 species